ACACAUGCAGUCGAGCGGAGAUGAGGUGCUUGCACCUUAUCUUAGCGGCGGACGGGUGAGUAAUGCUUAGGAAUCUGCCUAUUAGUGGGGGACAACAUUUCGAAAGGAAUGCUAAUACCGCAUACGCCCUACGGGGGAAAGCAGGGGAUCUUCGGACCUUGCGCUAAUAGAUGAGCCUAAGUCGGAUUAGCUAGUUGGUGGGGUAAAGGCCUACCAAGGCGACGAUCUGUAGCGGGUCUGAGAGGAUGAUCCGCCACACUGGGACUGAGACACGGCCCAGACUCCUACGGGAGGCAGCAGUGGGGAAUAUUGGACAAUGGGGGGAACCCUGAUCCAGCCAUGCCGCGUGUGUGAAGAAGGCCUUUUGGUUGUAAAGCACUUUAAGCGAGGAGGAGGAGCUCUAGAUUAAUACUCUAGAUGCUUGGACGUUACUCGCAGAAUAAGCACCGGCUAACUCUGUGCCAGCAGCCGCGGUAAUACAGAGGGUGCAAGCGUUAAUCGGAUUUACUGGGCGUAAAGCGUGCGUAGGUGGUCUUUUAAGUCGGAUGUGAAAUCCCUGAGCUUAACUUAGGAAUUGCAUUCGAUACUGGGAGACUAGAGUAUGGGAGAGGAUGGUAGAAUUCCAGGUGUAGCGGUGAAAUGCGUAGAGAUCUGGAGGAAUACCGAUGGCGAAGGCAGCCAUCUGGCCUAAUACUGACACUGAGGUACGAAAGCAUGGGGAGCAAACAGGAUUAGAUACCCUGGUAGUCCAUGCCGUAAACGAUGUCUACUAGCCGUUGGGGUCUUUGAGACUUUAGUG
rnacentral:rRNA from 2 species